rnacentral:tRNA from 1 species
GGCCCCAUCGUCUAGCCCGGCUUAGGACAUCACCCUCUCACGGUGGAGACACGAGUUCAAAUCUCGUUGGGGCUA